rnacentral:misc_RNA from 1 species
UCCGAGUUGACCCCGGCAGUCUCCUAUGAGUCCCCACCAUUACGUGCUGGCAACAUAGAACGAGGGUUGCGCUCGUUGCGGGACUUAACCCAACAUCUCACGACACGAGCUGACGACAGCCAUGCAGCACCUGUGCAUCUCCCACCCGAAGUGAAGAGCCCUCUUUCAAGGGCUCAUAGAGAGCAUGUCAAAUCCUGGUAAGGUUCUUCGCGUUGCCUCGAAUUAAACCACAUGUUCCACCGCUUGUGCGGGUCCCCGUCAAUUUCUUUGAGUUUUAAUCUUGCGACCGUACUCCCCAGGCGGGGUGCUUAACGCGUUAGCUGCGCUACUCAGAGGUAACCUCCGAACAGCUAGCACCCAUCGUUUACAGCGUGGACUAC